UAAAGACGAGGAUAACCAUUGGAAACAGUGGCUAAGACUGGAUAGGAAGAUAAAAGGCAUCUUUUAUCUUUUAAAAGACCUAGUAAUAGGUAUGCUUUAGGAGGGGCUUGCGCCAUAUUAGUUAGUUGGUAGGGUAAUGGCCUACCAAGACGAUGAUGUGUAGCUGGACUGAGAGGUUGAACAGCCACAUUGGGACUGAGACACGGCCCAAACUCCUACGGGAGGCAGCAGUAGGGAAUUUUCGGCAAUGGAGGAAACUCUGACCGAGCAACGCCGCGUGAAUGACGAAGUACUUCGGUAUGUAAAGUUCUUUUAUCAAGGAAGAAAAGCAAAUGGCGAACCAUUUGUUUGCCGGUACUUGAUGAAUAAGCCCCGGCUAAUUAUGUGCCAGCAGCCGCGGUAAGACAUAAGGGGCAAGUGUUAUCCGGAAUUAUUGGGCGUAAAGGGUGCGUAGGCGGUCUAGUAAGUCAGUGGUGUAAUGGCAACGCUUAACGUUGUCCGGCUAUUGAAACUGCUAAACUUGAGUUAGAUAGAGGCGAGUGGAAUUCCAUGUGUAGCGGUAAAAUGCGUAAAUAUAUGGAGGAACACCAGAGGCGUAGGCGGCUCGCUGGGUCUUAACUGACGCUGAGGCACGAAAGCGUGGGGAGCAAACAGGAUUAGAUACCCUGGUAGUCCACGCCGUAAACGAUGAGUACUAAGUGUCGGGUUAAACCGGUACUGAAGUUAACACAUUAAGUACUCCGCCUGAGUAGUACGUACGCAAGUAUGAAACUUAAAGGAAUUGACGGGACUCCGCACAAGCGGUGGAUCAUGUUGUUUAAUUCGAAGAUACCCGAAAAACCUUACCAGGUCUUGACAUGUUUUUGCAAAAUGAUAGUAAUAUCGUGGAGGUUACCAGAAACACAGGUGGUGCAUGGUUGUCGUCAGCUCGUGUCGUGAGAUGUUAGGUUAAGUCCUAAAACGAGCGAAACCCUUAUCGUUAGUUGCCAGCACGUUAUGGUGGGGACUUUAACGAGACUGCCAAUGAUAAAUUGGAGGAAGGUGAGGAUCACGUCAAAUCAGCAUGCCCCUUAUGACCUGGGCUACAAACGUGAUACAAUGGCUGUUACAAAGGGUAGCUGAAACGCAAGUUCUUGGCCAAUCCCCAAAAACAGUCCCAGUCCGGAUUGAAGUCUGCAACUCGACUUCAUGAAGUUGGAAUCGCUAGUAAUCGCGAAUCAGCAUGUCGCGGUGAAUACGUUCUCGGGGUUUGUACACACCGCCCGUCAAACCACGAAAGUUGGCAAUACCCCAAAACGGUAG
rnacentral:rRNA from 4 species